rnacentral:rRNA from 1 species
UACGGAGGGGGCUAGCGUUGUUCGGAAUUACUGGGCGUAAAGCGCUCGUAGGCGGUCCUGCAAGUCGGGGGUGAAAGCCCGAGGCUCAACCUCGGAACUGCCUUCGAUACUGCGGGUCUCGAGUCCGGGAGAGGUGAGUGGAAUUCCUAGUGUAGAGGUGAAAUUCGUAGAUAUUAGGAAGAACACCAGUGGCGAAGGCGGCUCACUGGCCCGGUACUGACGCUGAGGCGCGAAAGCGUGGGGAGCAAACAGG